GGGUAGGUUGCCGAGAGGACAAUGGCAGCAGACUGUAAAUCUGCCGGCUCACGCCUUCGGAGGUUCGAAUCCUCCCCUGCCCA
rnacentral:tRNA from 1 species